rnacentral:snoRNA from 1 species
UUAUGAUGAGACAACUAGCUGGCACCAGUCAGAGGAAUUUGGAUAUUCGUAUCCAUUUUCAUUGCUGAUCAGCUUACCGGUCUGGGAACGCUACCCGGAUCCUGAA